AAAAGUGAAAGACGGUCUUGCUGUCACUUAUAGAUGGAUCCGCGCUGCAUUAGCUAGUUGGUAAGGUAACGGCUUACCAAGGCAACGAUGCAUAGCCGACCUGAGAGGGUGAUCGGCCACACUGGAACUGAGACACGGUCCAGACUCCUACGGGAGGCAGCAGUAGGGAAUCUUCCGCAAUGGGCGAAAGCCUGACGGAGCAACGCCGCGUGAGUGAUGAAGGUCUUCGGAUCGUAAAACUCUGUUAUUAGGGAAGAACAUAUGUGUAAGUAACUGUGCACAUCUUGACGGUACCUAAUCAGAAAGCCACGGCUAACUACGUGCCAGCAGCCGCGGUAAUACGUAGGUGGCAAGCGUUAUCCGGAAUUAUUGGGCGUAAAGCGCGCGUAGGCGGUUUUUUAAGUCUGAUGUGAAAGCCC
rnacentral:rRNA from 1 species